rnacentral:rRNA from 1 species
AGUGAACGCUGGCGGCGUGCCUAAUACAUGCAAGUCGAACGAAGUGGCGCACGGGUGAGUAAUAUAUAGUUAAUCUGCCCUACACAGAGGAACAACAGUUGGAAACGACUGCUAAUACCUCAUAGUGUAGGAUGAGACUAUAUCGUAUCAGCUAGUUGGUAAGGUAAUGGCUUACCAAGGCUAUGACGCGUAACUGGUCUGAGAGGAUGAUCAGUCACGUUGGAACUGAGGCACGGUGCAAGCUCCUACGGGAGGCAGCAAUAGGGAAUAAUGCGCAAGGGGGGAAGCCCUGACGGAGCAGAGCCGCGUGGGGGAUGACACUUUUCGGAGAAUAAACUAAUUUUAUCAGGAAAGCGGUACCUGAUGAAUAAGCACCGGCUAACUCCGUGCCAGCAGCCGCGGUAAUUC